UACGUAGGCAGCAAGCGUUGUUCGGAGUUACUGGGCGUAAAGGGUGUGUAGGCGGUUGCUUAAGUUUGGUGUGAAAUCUCCCGGCUUAACUGGGAGGGUGCGCCGAAUACUGAGUAACUAGAGUGCGGGAGAGGAAAGUGGAAUUCCUGGUGUAGCGGUGAAAUGCGUAGAUAUCAGGAGGAACACCGGUGGUGUAGACGGCUUUCUGGACCGUAACUGACGCUGAGACACGAAAGCGUGGGUAGCAAACAGG
rnacentral:rRNA from 1 species